rnacentral:rRNA from 1 species
GACGAACGCUGGCGGCGUGCUUAACACAUGCAAGUCGAACGGAAAGGCCCUGCUUUUGUGGGGUGCUCGAGUGGCGAACGGGUGAGUAACACGUGAGUAACCUGCCCUUGACUUUGGGAUAACUUCAGGAAACUGGGGCUAAUACCGGAUAGGAGCUCUUGCUGCAUGGUGGGGGUUGGAAAGUUUCGGCGGUUGGGGAUGGACUCGCGGCUUAUCAGCUUGUUGGUGGGGUAGUGGCUUACCAAGGCUUUGACGGGUAGCCGGCCUGAGAGGGGGACCGGCCACAUUGGGACUGAGAUACGGCCCAGACUCCUACGGGAGGCAGCAGUGGGGAGUAUUACACAGUGGGCGGAAGCCUGAUGCAGCAACGCCGCGUGCGGGAUGACGGCCUUCGGGUUGUAAACCGCUUUCGCCUGUGACGAAGCGUGAGUGACGGUAAUGGGUAAAGAAGCACCGGCUAACUACGUG